rnacentral:lncRNA from 1 species
ACUUCUUGUUCUUGUUCCAUCCUUUUAGGUAAACCAAGGAAGAUUCACAUACGAAUAAAGAUAUAACUACACUUUUCAAUUGUCAAAUUUCUGGAAUCCGCUCAAGAUAUUAUAAACUCACAAACGUUUUUGGAGCUGUGUUGCAUUUUGUUUUUCUUGCAGGUAACUCUUCACUCAACAAGGAACAAGGGCCAGAUGGCAUGCAGACAUGUGUCUGAGACAGG